CCUUUAUUUCCCUUCAACCUUGCACGGAGCCUAGCAUGAAGUAGGUGCUCUAUCCAUACCUGCUGUCUUUAUGCUGUCAAUGUGUAUAUUGAAGGCUCUCCUCUUUCCCCCAGCACCGACAUCGAAUGGUAGUUUUGGAGCCACUGAACAAACUGCUGCAGGCGAAAUGGGAUCAGUUUAUCUCCAAGUUCUUCUUCAACUUCCUGUGUUAUCUGAUCUACAUGCUCAUUUUCACUGCUGUUGCCUACCACCAGCCAGCCCUGGACCAGCAGGCCUUCUCAUGGCUGGAUUCAUCACCCGGAAUGUGGCUUCUGCUGGGCCACAUCUUCAUCCUUCUUGGGGGGAUCUACCUCCUCCUUGUCCAGGUGAGAGCUUCUCUCCUUUCCCUACCUCAUGUGGCUCUAUUUGACUAAGGGGCAAACCUAAAAUUCUGCUACAGGGCAAUGAGUUUAGAAACAAUCCCUUCAUUGAUGGGGGAAGGGACUCCCAUACCCAGUUCCACCCAGACCAGCCUGCAGGCAAUGGAGGGCCACAGGUUCUAGCCAUGCCUUCUGUGGGGCUCUGAUACUGUCCCUUCUGUGCCUUUUGGGAUACCCAUAGGGUAGCAGAUGACUUCUCUGACUCCUUGCCAGUUUAGUCUCUGCUUCCCUGAAGAUCAAGCCGGGAAGCCUCUUGCCCUGAAUCCCUCAGCUGACCUUCAUCACUUGGGGAGCACAGAAGGCUGAUGGCAGGUGGGACUCAGCCCAACUCUUGCAGCAGAGCAUUCCCAGGUAGAAAAGUCGCAAGAUUGCAAGAGUCAGGCUGCACACCAAAAUGUUGGGACCUUCUUAGAGUUGGCAGAAUUAGGUACCACACUCAGGUUGUCUGGAGUACAGAGUGCUCCCCAGGAGGCAAUGGAGAGGAGGAGGAAAGGAGCACUCUUCUGCACAUGCAGUAUGUGGGCCCUUCAUCUGAUUCCAUGGGGGCCAGGAGGCCCCUGGCACUGUCUGAGUGCCUGUGUGAGGCUGUUCUCCCCCUCCUCAGAACUGGGGAUGGUGCUCAGGGCCUCUUGCACGCUCAGCGCAGCCUCAGCUCACGUGUUCCUUUUCAAAAGAGGAUUCGUGGACAUCUCAGUUAUUAAAAGGAUUCAUGAGAUCCCUAAAGUCAAAGCUGCUGUGUUAACUCCAAAAUGGUGCUCACCAGGCCCUGAUGCAGGCAGGCCAGCAGGCAGGGAGCAUGUGGGUGAGCAGGGGUCCUGGCAAUCCCGAGGGACAGCUGGCUUCUUGUGCCUGAAGAACAAAUUUCACACCUUCUGUUCUCCUUUUCCACAGCUGUGGUGCUUCUGGCGGCGCCGCCUGUUCAUCUGGAUCUCAUUCAUGGACAGCUACUUUGAAAUCCUCUUCCUGGCCCAGGCCCUGCUCACAGUGCUAUCCCAGGUCUUGCGUUUCUCGUCCAUUGAGUGGUACCUGCCCCUGCUUGUGUCCUCACUGGUGCUGGGCUGGCUGAACCUGCUUUACUACACACGAGGCUUCCAGUACACGGGCAUCUACAGUGUCAUGAUCCAGAAGGUUAUCCUGUGGGACCUGCUCCGCUUCCUGCUGGUCUACUUAGUCUUCCUUUUUGGCUUCGCUAUUGGUAAAGACCCUCUGGCCUCUCCUUAUCCCCUCCCUGCCAUGUACACGCUCAAGGUUGCCUGUUGGUCUCCCCAUCUUGAGGAGCCCCUCUGUCCUUCCAGCCCUGGUGAGCCUGAGCCGGGAGUCCCGGGGCCCCAAAGUCCCUGCAAGCGUCAAUGCCACAGAGGUUGCUCAGGCUGGGAUAGGACAGGAGGACGAGGUGGCCCCGUACAGGACCAUCCUAGAUGCCUCAUUGGAGCUCUUCAAAUUCACCAUCGGCAUGGGCGAGCUGGCCUUCCAGGACCAGCUGCGCUUCCGCGGGGUGGUGUUGUUGCUGCUGCUGGCCUACGUUAUGCUCACCUACGUCCUGCUGCUCAACAUGCUUAUCGCCCUCAUGAGUGAGACAGUCAACAGUGUUGCCACCGACAGCUGGAGCAUUUGGAAGCUACAGGUGCCAGAGCAAGCCUUCCCUCCCCUCCUCUACCCUCCUCUGUGUUCUCGGUCUGCUGAGGCAUUCUCAGGACUCUACUGAGCUCAGCACACCCCAGGUCUCGGGGCUGGGCCCCGUGUCAGGUAAACUCAGCUCAGGAGAACCCCUCAGACUCCUCAAUCUAUUCCUUCUUUCAUAGGGAGGUUGUGAAAAUUGGAUGUGCUCCUGGGUGUAAUCUGCCUACACAGUGACUAUCACAUAAUAGGUGUGCACUGUGUUAGUUAUUUUUAUCAUUAGCAUCACUAAUGUCAAGUAUUUCUUCUUCUCCUUCUUCUGUUUUUUUCUUUCCUUUUUUUGAUGGUACUGGGGAUUGAACCCAGGGAGUGCUGAGCUGCAUCUCAGGUCUUUUUGCUUUUCAUUUUGAGACAGGGUCUCACUACAUUGCCAUAGCUGGCCUUGAACUUGCAAUCCUCCUGCCUCAGCCCCUGGAGAAGCUAGGAUUACAGGCACCUGUCACCGUGCUUGGCAUCACGUUUCUUGAGUGCCUUUUGUGGUUCAUCCAGCAACAGUGUUUGGGGCUGCACAAGAUAAAGCCUGUCUGUGUCCUCAAGAAGCGCCAAGUCUAUCCUCAUAUUUAACAUAGGUCCCAUUUGGUGAGGAAGGUAGUCAGGGUGUAAAAUCAUAGGGCUGGCCCAGCCUGGGGCACCUGGGACACUGAUCUGACACCCACCUACAGUGCAUGCAAUAGCUUGGUCUUGCCCAAAGAAGGAUCAGGUGGUUCCUGGGCAGUUGGAGCAGGGGCUGGACUCUGCGGCCAACUCCUUGGUGCCUACAGCCAUCCUCUUGUCUUCUUUGAGCCUUGGUUCCCUCAUCUGGAAACAGUGUGCUUCCUGUGACUUGUCUGUCUGCGAGUGGCAGGCAUAUGUGCAGGGUAGAGCCGACGGAGUUCUAUACCAGAUAGUAUGGAAUGUGGGGGCCUGAAAUGCUGUAAGAGCAAGUCAC
rnacentral:lncRNA from 1 species